AGUUUCUAAGAGCAAUGGGCAUGGGAACAUGGAGGAAAGCUUAGAUUUGUCUUUUCCUCUACAACUAGGGGUGGAGAUUACUUCGGUGUUUUCCCAAUGCCUCCCAUGCCUAUUAUUCUUAGGGGCU
rnacentral:pre_miRNA from 1 species